rnacentral:rRNA from 1 species
GACGAACGCUGGCGGCGCGCUUAACACAUGCAAGUCGAGCGAAGCGGCGGACGGGUGAGUAACACGUGAGUGACCUGCCUUAGACAUUGGGAUAGCCUCGGGAAACCGGGUUUAAUACCAAAUGGUCUAAGAUGGACUCGCGGCCCAUUAGCAAGUUGGUGAGGUAACGGCCCACCACGGGGACGAUGGGUAGCCGGCCGGAGAGGGUGAACGGCGACAUUGGAACUGAGAAACGGUCCAAACUCUACGGGAUGCAGCAGUGGGGAAUACUGCCCAAUGGAGGGAGCGCUGAUGCAGCGACGCCGCGUGAACGAAGAAGGCUUUCGAGUCGUAAAGUACUUUUAUAUGGGAAGCGGUACCAUAAGAAAAAGCCCCGGCUAACUACGUGCCAGCAGCCGCGGUAAUUC